rnacentral:rRNA from 1 species
AUUGAACGCUGGCGGCAGGCCUAACACAUGCAAGUCGAGCGAGCGGCGGACGGGUGAGUAAUGUCUGGGAAACUGCCUGAUGGAGGGGGAUAACUACUGGAAACGGUAGCUAAUACCGCAUACCAUCAGAUGUGCCCAGAUGGGAUUAGCUAGUAGGUGGGGUAACGGCUCACCUAGGCGACGAUCCCUAGCUGGUCUGAGAGGAUGACCAGCAACACUGGAACUGAGACACGGUCAAGAUUCCUAGGGGGGGCGGCAGUGGGAAAUAUUGCACAAUGGGCGCAAGACUGAUGCAGCCGUGCCGAGUGUGUGAAGAGGGCAAUCGGGUUGUAAAGCACUUUCAGCGGGGAGUCGUUACCCGAAGAAGAAGCACCGGCUAACUCCGUGCCAGCAGCCGCGGUAAUAC